CCUACGGGCGGCUGCAGUGGGGAAUAUUGGACAAUGGGCGAAAGCCUGAUCCAGCCAUGCCGCGUGUGUGAAGAAGGCCUUCGGGUUGUAAAGCACUUUCAGUGGGGAAGAAAGCCUUGGGGCUAAUACCCUCGAGGAAGGACAUCACCCACAGAAGAAGCACCGGCUAACUCCGUGCCAGCAGCCGCGGUAAUACGGAGGGUGCGAGCGUUAAUCGGAAUUACUGGGCGUAAAGCGCGCGUAGGCGGUCUGAUAAGCCGGUUGUGAAAGCCCCGGGCUCAACCUGGGAACGGCAUCCGGAACUGUCAGGCUAGAGUGCAGGAGAGGAAGGUAGAAUUCCCGGUGUAGCGGUGAAAUGCGUAGAGAUCGGGAGGAAUACCACUGGCGAAGGCGGCCUUCUGGACUGACACUGACGCUGAGGUGCGAAAGCGUGGGUAGCAAACAGGAUUAGAUACCCGAGUAGUC
rnacentral:rRNA from 1 species